rnacentral:lncRNA from 1 species
UCUCAUCUUUCUCACACCCCUAAGAGACCCCGAAACCCUAGCCAGCCGUCUCAAAUCCUAUGCAAUAUCUGGUGGCGGCACCACCUCCGUUCAAACCCAAACCAACACCAAAUCAUCUCCUCAGCUCCCUCUUUCCAAAUCCUAGAUCACCGUCCCUCGAAUCUUUUUGAAACCCCUCAAAUUUCAAAUCAAACGGUAGAACCCUAGCUCCGCCCUAAUAUUCUUUGGUAGCGGCGCCACCACCAACCACCCCCAAAUUAACACCCUGAAGUCCCUGCCUCCCCUCAUUCUAAAUAUCCCAUUACUUUCUUUCGAAUCCCCCUCAAACUUCUCGAAUAUUAAAUCAGAGAACUCAGCCUUAAUUCCAAAUUCAAAAUUCAACGGGCCUGUGAGGAUUUUAGACUAUAUUGAACCUUAGUCGUGUGUUUUCACACGAAAACACAAGAUUAAGGUCUAAUCUGGUCAGAAUAAUCGAAGGAUUUCUUCAAGUGUAUUCAAGUCCAUGCUGAGCCCCACGGGUAUUUCUUUUUCAGUUUUCUUCGGUUAAAUUUUCUUUACUUUUCUUGUCAUUUUAACUUGCAUUGUCAUCUGCUUCUCCCUCUUAUUUUAGAUUAUUUUGCUAUUCCAAUUUUAGAGUUGUUCUUUACAUGCAUGCUAGUUUUAAGAGGCUUUUAUUUCUGUAAUUAGUUGGAACAGUCUACUAUUAGUUUAGUUUCAAUUUCAUUACAUGUUUGCUCAUUAGUCGAAUUUCCAAAAUUUGCUCGAAUUGCCUCUGCCUCUUUAUUUCAUUUUCAUUUGUUUAGGUUGAUGUUAUUUAGGUCUGAGGCUCAUACCCUGAAGCUCAGGCUUGGGCCGGACUUCUAAAUGGGUCAGCCCAGGGUCAAUUUGACCUAUAAUCUGUCUAAGGUGCAGGGAUAAAAACAGGGAAGCUAAGGGGCAAUUGGGGUAACUCAGUUAGGGAAUCUUUUGGGCAACAGAUUAAGAAGCUUCUCAGAAGCUGCAAACAGACUAGCUUGGCCAGCAAGGCAGAAAAUGAAGGACUAAGUAGAAAAAAGGAAAAUUUGAAAAGGACUAAAAAAUAAAAUAACUAAACUCUUAAGGUUGCCCUAGUAACUUGUCUAUAAAGGCAUAGUUACUUGGGGUUCAAUUCAGAUUUUAGAUUGGAGAUGAUGAAAAAAAGCUAAGAAACUUGGAAAAAGAAACGGCUAAGAAUUGAAGAAAAAAUCAUUGUUUCAUUGAAACUUUUUGGUGACUUCUUCAUUUCUUAUUCUUUGAAAAGAUGUUCUGGUUCAAAUAGUUCAAAAAUGAAUUGAAAUUGGGUUUUGGAGGUUUGGUUUUUGAAGUCUGUUCUGGUAUUUGCUCGAGUGAGCCUGCCUUCUGUUAUUUUUGCAUUCGAUUUGGUUGAGUUGUGUUGCUGCUGGUGUUGACUACUGUUCUACUCUAUCGGUCCUCAUUUUUCUUUCCUUGUUUCAAUUUCCAGGUAUUCACUUCACCUCCUAAUGUAUGAGAAUGAGUGAACUUGAAGUUGGUUUAUUUCAGUUAGGAUUUGUAUUUGAGCAGUGAUUUGAAUGAUGGAUUUGUGCCUUUCAAGCUAGUUAAUCUGUGUAUUUGAUUUGGUUUCAAUGUUUAUAAAUAAUGUGCUUUUAUUUUUGUUGUUUAAUUCCUCAUGAUGUUUUUUUAAGAUUUCGAAUAGUAUGUUAGUAUGGAUAUUCUGUAUUAAAAGGGACAUGGACAUUAUUUGGACAUCAGAUAUUGUGUCCUGUAUCUAUGAGUAUUGAGGGGUCGAAGUGAUUCUCA